CCCAAAAGCUGUUCCAGUUGCCGUUUCUGAUGGAAACAUCAGUUAGAAUAACACUACUGUAUGUCGGGAAACCCCUAAAGAACUCAAUACUGAGAUAGGGUAAGCGCUAUAAGAGCCACAAAAUAUCUCAUGUAAUAAUUUGAGUGUAUAUAUGGGAAACCCGCAGGAAACCAAAGAUUGAGCAUACUUCAUCAAUCAAGUAGGAUCCUCAGAGACGCGUUAAAGGCGCAAUCAAAAGAAAAAACAAAAGAGCGCAUAUUUCUUUUGGGGGGAGCGAAGAGCCUCUCCCUGAAGGGGAUUGGAGCGAACUUCUUUUGUGACAUGCUCUUGCAAAAAUUUUGAUUUAAACGUAGUGCAGCUGCUUUUUUUGGCAGUUGAAGAUAUAGUCCAGCUAAUCUAGAAAUAGAUUA
rfam:Klebsormidium nitens mitochondrial DNA, scaffold: kfl01814, whole genome shotgun sequence.